rnacentral:rRNA from 1 species
GACAGAGGAUGCAAGCGUUAUCCGGAAUGAUUGGGCGUAAAGCGUCUGUAGGUGGCUUUUUAAGUCCGCCGUCAAAUCCCAGGGCUCAACCCUGGACAGGCGGUGGAAACUACCAAGCUGGAGUACGGUAGGGGCAGAGGGAAUUUCCGGUGGAGCGGUGAAAUGCGCAGAUAUCAGGAAGAACACCCGUGGCGAAGGCGGUUCUCUGGGACGGUACUGACGCUGAGACGCGAAAGCGUGGGGAGCGAACAGG